AGGAACCUGACGACUUAGAUGCUGGCAGUAAUUCACCUUCCACAGAGCUAGAUUCAAUUUUUGGGAAGUUGCCACCAAAGUCACUGAUCAAGACCAACCUCCUCUUCCCAAAACCUCCACGUCCCAUGACAUCGUACAAGACAUCGGGAAGACGUCAUUCCCUUUCUACUAACAAACAGAUCGUUGUGGCUGGCGACAAAAGAGACCAGGAUGUGACAGUGAGAGACCUGAAAACUCCCCACAAGAGCCAGUCGGCACAGAAACGUUCAGUGAGUCAUUGGAACGCUCCUUCUUCCAGCCCCAGCUCAAGAGCUGCUCUUCACAAGCGCAAAAAUCAUUUGUGAUAGCGCACAGGCAGAGCAACAACAGCCAGGAGGAGAACAUUAACUGUAUUGCGCUCUGUUUCACUGCUGCAGACUCCCAGAAACACCACCCGCUGGGAUACUCUGAUGAGAAUUCUGCCGAAGUGUCUGAA
ensembl:lncRNA